AUACCUGAGUAAAGUGGCGCACGGGUGAGUAACACGUGACUAACCUACCCUGGAGUGGGGGAUAACUGAGGGAAACCUUAGCUAAUACCGCAUAACACCUACGGGUCAAAGGAGCAAUUCGCUUCAGGAGGGGGUCGCGGCCGAUUAGUUAGUUGGCGGGGUAAUGGCCCACCAAGACUGUGAUCGGUAUCCGGCCUGAGAGGGCGCACGGACACACUGGAACUGAAACACGGUCCAGACUCCUACGGGAGGCAGCAGUGGGGAAUUUUGCGCAAUGGGGGAAACCCUGACGCAGCAACGCCGCGUGGAGGAUGAAGUACUUCGGUACGUAAACUCCUUUCGAUCGGGACGAUUAUGACGGUACCGGAAGAAGAAGCCCCGGCUAACUUCGUGCCAGCAGCCGCGGUAAUACGAGGGGGGCAAGCGUUGUUCGGAAUUAUUGGGCGUAAAGGGUGCGUAGGCGGUUUUGUAAGUCUUGUGUGAAAUCUUCAGGCUCAACUUGAAGACUGCACGAGAAACUGCAGGGCUUGAGUGUGGGAGAGGUGAGUGGAAUUCCUGGUGUAGCGGUGAAAUGCGUAGAUAUCAGGAGGAACACCUGUGGCGAAAGCGGCUCACUGGACCACAACUGACGCUGAUGCACGAAAGCUAGGGGAGCAAACAGGAUUAGAUACCCUGGUAGUCCUAGCCCUAAACGAUGAUU
rnacentral:rRNA from 1 species